rnacentral:rRNA from 1 species
CCGCGUGGGUGAUGAAGGCCUUCGGGUUGUAAAGCCCUUUCGCGCGCGACGAUGAUGACGGUAGCGCGAGAAGAAGCCCCGGCUAACUUCGUGC